AUACAGAGGGGGCAAGCGUUGUUCGGAAUUACUGGGCGUAAAGGGCGCGUAGGCGGCCUGCUAAGUCGAACGUGAAAUCCCCGAGCUCAACUCGGGAACUGCGUCCGAUACUGGUAGGCUCGAAUCCGGGAGAGGGAUGCGGAAUUCCAGGUGUAGCGGUGAAAUGCGUAGAUAUCUGGAGGAACACCGGUGGCGAAGGCGGCAUCCUGGACCGGCAUUGACGCUGAGGCGCGAAAGCUAGGGGAGCAAACGGG
rnacentral:rRNA from 1 species